UGCGUUUAUUGCUAUGGUUUGCAGGUCUCUGUUUAAUUUAUUUUUUGUCUUUUAAAGCUUUUUAUUAUGUAAUAUUUGCUUUCUGUAUGUUUUUACAUGUUAAGGCAAAUAUAUUGCCACGUUUUUAGUCACGUAUUAAUCUCACGCUGAAACAGAGCAUGCUUAGUAUUUAGGCGAAGCAUGAUGUUACUGAAGCAAACUUUUAAUUCAAGUAAAAAUUUGGAAAUAAAACGUUAUCCACAAUCAUAUAUAGCGCCCAUCAAAUCAAAUCACGUUAGCUGUAAUGAAAAAGAGUUUUGUCACCGAACAACAAGAGUAUAAAUUUAUCUCCUCUUCUUUGUUUUUUAACUUCAAAUCAAAAAAAAGGUAUUACCCUGCGUCAAACUUUGUUUCUCUUUUAUUAGGGAACUUCCCGACUUGACACAUUUCAAAGUAAAGUAAAUUCCCGGACAUAUAAAAAAACGCGCGCUGUGUUUAUAAAGACGCCACAUAAAUAAGAAAAAAAAUAAAAACAAUUGAGGCUCGAAUUAUAAAAAUUAAGAACAUCGAAGCUCACUGAAAUUGGACUGGUUCUUUUAAAAAAAAAAGAAAGCAUGCAGCCAUAAACCAUCUCUAUUAAUAUCUCAUUACUGAAACACUUUAUAUUUUGGGAAAUUCCCUUACAGUUAUGUUUGCCUAUGAUACACAAAACUUAAAAUUUGACAGGCAAAAAACAACCAACAGUCAUGGGAGCGCAAGAGUCAAAACAACAAAUCUGUGCUUUAUCACCAGCCCACAUUGGGUCUAAUCGACAAGAAACACAAAAUAAACAAACACACCACACCACUCAAUACGAACAACAACAGAGACAGCAACAACGAAACAGAAAUUUGACCAAUAAGUUGGAAAGAGGUUAGUCUCUUUAUAUAAACACACACUAGCUAGCAAGGAAAUAUCUGAUCUCAAUGUGAUUCCGAUGCAUAUUGCUUUGUUUUAGCAAUAAACGAACCUCGAACUGCUCCAGUUUUUAUGGCACAAGGAUUGGAGUAGUUGCAAAGGGUAUAUGCUAUGUAUACGAAUUUUCUCUUUAAACUUUAUUAUCUUAUAAUACAAUAUAUUGUCUA